AGAACCGAUACUUCGGUACCAACUCUGUACCAAAAUUCAAAAAAUGUGACGGUACUCGUUUUCUUCGGUACUGGAGAUGCGAUUCUUCCGGAUCUAAUGGGGGCAGUAUACACUUAGAAGUGUUCUCAUCUGCCGUGAAAUGAAGGAAGAAGAACGUCGUAACAGCACGGA